CAAGUCUGCUCUCAGUCCCACGAAGAAGAACGACUUCCGGCAGCGCUUGAAGUUAGCAUCACAGAAACACAGGAAUGGAUGAACAUCCUAAAAGGCGAUAUUAUAUAGGACCGCUCCCGACAAGAAACCACGUUCAACGGCAAAGAAAAGAAGCGACACGAGUAAAUCUCGAUGUGCCUUUCCACCGCUGGAGAAGCUCCUGAGAGUGAAGAGAUGCGGUUUGAUGCCGAGCUCGCAACUUUCCUGUUAGCCCGGACCUGAGCCAGUACAGAUGGAAUACCGCCUCCACCUGUCUCACAACGGCAGAGACACAGUGAGGAGGGUCUAGGGAUGGCAGAAUCCACCUCAGGCCAGAACCAUACCUGCAAGAAACGAUGUGGAAGCAGCUGGGCCUGGACGAGCAGAGGUGGAGCCCUACUUCUCUAGAAGAGGAUAUCCUUUACAUUUCUGGACAAUGAAAUCUUUGAAGAAUAUUCUGUCUGCACAGAUCACUACCAUUCCUUUUGUUACUCUCCCUACAAUACCAAGGGCUGGGCAGCACAUAUAGACUAUUCCAUUCUGUUCAAUGAAUGAAUUUUUAAAAAACUGUUUCAUAAAGCUUUAACUUACAACAUUUGACACAUUACAACAAUUUAAAUUUUAUGUCUUAUGACAUCCUAUGACAAAAUCCAGGUGCAACUUGACACUCUUUUUUAUUUUGCGUCUCAUCAGCCAGAUAAGAAAUCCAAUACAUCAUCCUGCAGCUGUGCCCUGGACAUUACAAAUUGGCUACACUUUUAAUUACAGAAAAUUACUAACUGUGGUGA